rnacentral:ncRNA from 1 species
GACUCUGGAGAACCUCACAUAGGUGAGUGCCGAAGGUGCAAGGUCUUAUGACCGAAUCUCUCAGGCAAAAGGACAGAGAA